UGCGGCAAUUGGUGCAGUCCCUUCAGGGGAAAUCUGUUAUAUUCUUAAUCAUGUUAAUAUAUUCGAAAUAAUGAAUCAAAUACUUUCUGCAUUACAUAAUAUUCUAUCAUGGCAGAUAUAGGGACAAUAUGUAUUCAUAAUAUUCGAUGGAACAUCAGAUGAAAUAAUAGAUUUUUUUCGUCUAGCAAAUUAUUAUAACCCUUUAUUAAAGUUCAAACGAAAAAAUGUCGUU
rnacentral:lncRNA from 1 species